GCUUAACACAUGCAAGUCGAACGGUACAGGACUAGCUUGCUAGUUGCUGACGAGUGGCGGACGGGUGAGUAACGCGUAGGAAUCUACCCAUCUGAGGGGGAUACCAGUUGGAAACGACUGUUAAUACCGCAUAGUAUCUGUGGAUUAAAGGUGGCUUUUGGGCUGUCGCAGAUGGAUGAGCCUGCGUUGGAUUAGCUAGUUGGUGAGGUAAGGGCCUACCAAGGCUACGAUCCAUAGCUGAUUUGAGAGGAUGAUCAGCCACAUUGGGACUGAGACACGGCCCAAACUCCUACGGGAGGCAGCAGUGAGGAAUAUUGGACAAUGGGGGCAACCCUGAUCCAGCAAUGCCAUGUGUGUGAAGAAGGCCUUAGGGUUGUAAAGCACUUUAGUUGGGGAAGAAAGCUUUGAGGUUAAUAGCCUUGAGGAAAAGGACGUUACCCAAAGAAUAAGCACCGGCUAACUCCGUGCCAGCAGCCGCGGUAAUACGGGGGGUGCAAGCGUUAAUCGGAAUUACUGGGCGUAAAGGGUCUGUAGGUGGUUUGUUAAGUCAGAUGUGAAAGCCUAGGGCUCAACCUUGGAACUGCAUUUGAUACUGGUAAACUAGAGUACGGUAGAGGAAUGGGGAAUUUCUGGUGUAGCGGUGAAAUGCGUAGAGAUCAGAAGGAACACCAAUGGCGAAGGCAACAUUCUGGACCGAUACUGACACUGAGGGACGAAAGCGUGGGGAUCAAACAGGAUUAGAUACCCUGGUAGUCCACGCUGUAAACGAUGAGUACUAGCUGUUGGAGUCGGUGUAAAGGCUCUAGUGGCGCAGCUAACGCGAUAAGUACUCCGCCUGGGGACUACGGCCGCAAGGCUAAAACUCAAAGGAAUUGACGGGGACCCGCACAAGCGGUGGAGCAUGUGGUUUAAUUCGAUGCAACGCGAAGAACCUUACCUGGUCUUGACAUCCUGCGAUCUUUCUAGAGAUAGAUUGGUGCCUUCGGGAACGCAGUGACAGGUGCUGCACGGCUGUCGUCAGCUCGUGUUGUGAAAUGUUGGGUUAAGUCCCGCAACGAGCGCAACCCCUAUUGAUAGUUACCAUCAUUAAGUUGGGUACUCUAUUGAGACUGCCGCUGACAAGGCGGAGGAAGGUGGGGACGACGUCAAGUCAUCAUGGCCUUUACGACCAGGGCUACACACGUGCUACAAUGG
rnacentral:rRNA from 2 species